UUAAUCGUGUUGAGAGGGAAAAGUAAGAAGUGCAUUGCUUUUUAGAGAGAACCACCAUUGGCUGCAAGUGGUUUAAGCAAGUUCUUCUGAAAAUGCACCCUUGAGUCUUUUUUUGAACUGCAUUGCACAGUAGAAAAAAGCGAGUGGCGUCGUUAAUGGCUAUAGAGAUAGUGAAGGAAACACUCUUCACUUAAACAGAGUGGAACCGCGCCUAGCGCCUCUGUG
rnacentral:ncRNA from 1 species